GAGUUUGAUCAUGGCUCAGAUUGAACGCUGGCGGUAUGCUUAACACAUGCAAGUCGAACGGUAGCAGGCCUUCGGGCGCUGACGAGUGGCGGACGGGUGAGUAACGCGUAGGAAUCUGCCUCAUAGUGGGGGACAACGUGGGGAAACUCACGCUAAUACCGCAUACGCCCUACGGGGGAAAGCGGGGGCUCGUAAGACCUCGCGCUAUGAGAUGAGCCUGCGUUAGAUUAGCUAGUUGGUAGGGUAAAGGCCUACCAAGGCGACGAUCUAUAGCUGGUCUGAGAGGACGAUCAGCCACACUGGGACUGAGACACGGCCCAGACUCCUACGGGAGGCAGCAGUGGGGAAUAUUGGACAAUGGGCGCAAGCCUGAUCCAGCAAUACCGCGUGUGUGAAGAAGGCCCUAGGGUUGUAAAGCACUUUCAAUGGGGAGGAAAACCUGCCGGUCAAUACCCGGUAGCUUGACAUUACCUUUAGAAGAAGCACCGGCUAACUCCGUGCCAGCAGCCGCGGUAAUACGGAGGGUGCGAGCGUUAAUCGGAAUUACUGGGCGUAAAGCGUGCGUAGGCGGUUCGUUAAGUCAGAUGUGAAAGCCCCGGGCUCAACCUGGGAACUGCAUUUGAAACUGGCGAACU
rnacentral:rRNA from 1 species